GUCAUUUCUUGCUGAAAAGUACGUCGUCCAUCAAAGCUCCUCAGUUCGUAGAUAGAUAAAAAUUGUCAAAUACCAGCUGCUAUCCUUCUGUAAAAAAUGCCUCCUUGUUUGCCAAAAUCAAUAAUGAGAGACGUCUACACCAUUUAUCCACAAAAGAAUAAUGCUGUACCACAAUACAACCAAUGAAUGCCUCCUUGUUUGCCAAAAUCAAUAAUGAGAGACGUCUACACCAUUUAUCCACAAAAGAAUAAUGCUGUACCACAAUACAACCAAACGAUUCACUGCUAUGUUCCAAAAAAGACCUGAGCGAAUUCCUUUCGCUAGAACUGAUAUGUACGAUAUUGUGAGCUUGCUUUACAUGUCGAAUGAGUUGGUUGAAAAAGAGAUCAUGAAAAGUGAAGGAGAAAAUGCACUCUCGCUUAUUCUGUCUCAUCUUGAUGAUCAAUCAAUGACAGUUUUACUUGGAACCUACGUUAAGAAAUUUUUUAAGUGCACUAUAUUUACGAAUAACGCCUUUCCUCUUUUUCCGUACAAUGAAAACUACCUAAACGGUUGGUUUAGGCAGAAUUUUUCACAUUGUAAUGAUGCAGGGGACCAAACUAAUCAAGAAGUAAAGAUUUUUAAUGCAAGUAACAAAGAUGAAGCAAUUAGAGGUAUCAUCGAGGUUGAAAGAUUGAAGAAAGAAGAAGUCGACAACUAGCGACCACAGUUGACUCGCUGUCAUGAAUUUCAGUUUUUUACCUUGAUUUUCAUCAUUAAUUUUCUUGUCAAAUGCCAACUACGAAAAUACGUUUUUCUCACUCUUUCUUCGGGGGGGAAUGAGAAAUUGCAAAAUUUUCUGCAAAGCAGACAAUCUCGGUAAAUCUUAGCGUAAACAUGUCAAUUAUGUAAAACUCGUACUGUCUUGAAUUUUUCACAACCUUUCUGGAAGUUUCCAACACGAAUGAAAGAAAAUCGGUCACAGAUCACGGACCAUUAAUUCAAUGGUGUCGCUUCUUAGCAAUUCUGAUUGGUUAACCGAAUAACAUACAAGAAAAAUCACUAUUUGCCCUGAUUAUAACUGAAGGUUGAUUACUGUCAUACAAAAUGAAAUUGUUUUAUUUCACGAGUCUUUGAAAUUGAACUAUUACAAACAUCGAGUUAUUUCAUGAAAAAUUAAGUCGAAUUCAGUGAAGCAUGCAUGUUCCCAUGUAUUAAAUGAUUCAGACAAAUAUUUAUGAAAAAAUUAAA